rnacentral:rRNA from 1 species
GAUGAACGCUAGCGGCAGGCCUAAUACAUGCAAGUCGAACGGUAGAUCGGGUAGCAAUACUUGAUUGAGAGUGACGUAAGGGUGCGUAACACGUAUGCAAUCUACCCUCAACAGGAGUAUAGCUCGGGGAAACUCGGAUUAACACUCCAUAACAUUACGAUGUGGCAUCACAUUGUGAUUAAAACUCCGGUGGUUGAGGAUGAGCAUGCGUCUGAUUAGUUAGUUGGAGGUGUAACGGACCCCCAAGACGAUGAUCAGUAGGGGAACUGAGAGGUUGAUCCCCCACACUGGCACUGAGAUACGGGCCAGACUCCUACGGGAGGCAGCAGUAGGGAAUAUUGGUCAAUGGAUGAGAGCCUGAACCAGCCAUGCCGCGUGCAGGAAGACGGCCUUCUGGGUUGUAAACUGCUUUUAUCUGGGGAUAAAAAGCCCAUGCGUGGGACAUUGAAGGUACCAGAUGAAUAAGCACCGGCUAACUACGU